CAACUGUCCUGUCUCCCCUCUCGGACGGGAGUUGACAAGUUAAAAUCUAGACGUCGAUCCACGAAGAGCUAACAAAUUAAUCAGGUGUGAAAUGGUGGCGAAAAUUGUGCUGGUUGUGAGCUGUGAAAUGAAAUCAUUUUCGGAACGACAAGGAGAAGAAGAAGAAGAAGAAGAAGAAAUGCUUUUUCCACCCAAACUUGGGGUGAUGAUUCAUGCCGCAUUGUAUUUUUCAGCUUCCUCGUUAAUUGCUCACAGUUGGAUUCAUCAAUAGCUUCUUCGCUUUAAAAAAAAAGUUUAUAAUUUGUUCCAUCGUGAUAGUCUGAUAAAUAAUAUGCUUGUAUUAAACUAUUGAUUCUCUGAUAUGUCCAAUGUUUUUCUUUUUGUUUUGUUUAAAAGGCUAUCUUAUUAGUGGAAGUGACAAUUCAGGUCGAUAGGUUUUAUUUUUAUUUUCGCAAUUGGGUUAGUGGGAGCAAUUUAAAAUGUGUGUCUAAAUGCUUAUAACUUAGUUGCGAAUACUGCAAAAAAAGUAAAAUAAUUUGUAUGAUUUAUAAUUUUAUA